rnacentral:tRNA from 1 species
UUAGGGAGACCUAAUCCACUCAGACAUCGAAAACAAAAAGUAAAUAGAUGCUGAGAUGGUCAUUCCUAGGUCGGUAGCCAGUGGAUGCUAAAGCUUUCAAACUAUAGGUUGGGUUCGGAUAUGGGCUAUUAGCUCAGGUGGUUAGAGCGCACCCCUGAUAAGGGUGAGGUCCCUGGUUCGAGUCCAGGAUGGCCCACCUGAAGAUAAUUAGUGGGGGUUUAGCUCAGUUGGUAGAGCGCCUGCUUUGCAAGCAGGAUGUCAGCGGUUCGAGUCCGCUAAUCUCCACCUUGUGUAAAAAUCACGAAGCAAAGGUAUCGUAGAUUGUCGGAAAGGGCAAGAAAUAGAUAGGGUGGUUUGGUGAUGAGUAGCACCGUGGGCUCAGAUAGAAAAAUGGUAAAUUAAUUCAGCAACAUGGCAUCAAGCCAGACUGCUGGGUAAGACUCAGCCAGAACCUUGAAAACUGCAUAGUAACGCGAAAAAAGCAGGCAGACACAGACAUGAAAAUGAAAGUGUAUGCGAUGUAAAAGU